AAGUGUAUUGGUAGCUUUUAAGCCAGGGGCGGUAGCGUG
rfam:Rahnella aquatilis CIP 78.65 = ATCC 33071, complete genome.